CAGGUUUGCUUAAGAUCUGUGGGCCCC
rnacentral:piRNA from 1 species